CCUACUGGUGGCAGCAGUCGAGACUCAUUCACAAUGGGGGAAACCCUGAUGGUGCGACACCGCGUGGGGGAAUGAAGUUCUUCGGAUUGUAAACCCCUGUCAUGUGGGAGCAAAUUAAAAAGAUAGUACCACCCGAGGAGGAUCCGGCUAACUCUGUGCCAGCAGCCGCGGUAAUACAGAGGUCUCAAGCGUUGUUCGGAAUCACUGGGCGUAACGCGUGCGUAGGCUGUUGCGUAAGUCGUGUGUGAAAGGCGCGGGCUCAACCCGCGGACGGCACAUGAUACUGCGAGACUAGAGUAAGGGAGGGGGAACCGGAAUUCUCGGUGUAGCAGUGAAAUGCGUAGAUAUCGAGAGGAACACUCGUGGCGAAGGCGGGUUCCUGGACAUUAACUGACGCUGAGGCACGAAGGCCAGGGGAGCGAAAGGGAUUAGAUACCCCUGUAGUC
rnacentral:rRNA from 1 species